GACGAACGCUGGCGGCGUGCCUAACACAUGCAAGUCGAGCGAAUGAAGUUUCUUCGGGAACGGAUUUAGCGGCGGACGGGUGAGUAACACGUGGGCAACCUGCCUCAUAGAGGGGAAUAGCCUUCCGAAAGGGAGAUUAAUACCGCAUAAGAUUGUAGUACCGCAUGGUACAGCAAUUAAAGGAGCAAUCCGCUAUGAGAUGGGCCCGCGGCGCAUUAGCUAGUUGGUGAGGUAACGGCUCACCAAGGCGACGAUGCGUAGCCGACCUGAGAGGGUGAACGGCCACAUUGGAACUGAGACACGGUCCAAACUCCUACGGGAGGCAGCAGUGGGGAAUAUUGGGCAAUGGGCGAAAGCCUGACCCAGCAACGCCGCGUGAAGGAAGAAGGUCUUCGGAUUGUAAACUUUGUUGUCAGUGAAGAAUAAGGACAGUAACUGACGAGGAAGCCCGGCUAACUACGUG
rnacentral:rRNA from 1 species